UUGAUAAAGGGCUAGAAAUCCAGGAACUCGCGCCUGCCUUCUCCGGCCAAGCCAGAGCUGCCCCUCCCACCGCUCCUGCUUUCUCCGGGAGAAGCGGGGAUCUUGCCCGAGGGCUCAGAGAUGCGGUGGGCUGGCUUUGCCCUGGAGUGAGUGGAUGGAUCCUUCCCCGAGAGCCGGGCUACAGAAAGCUCCCCCGCAAUCCGCGUAGCGCAGAGCUGUGGAAUCCUCCCGGCGCCGAGCGCACUGGGCAAGGCCCUUUGACCUGGAGUCGGUGUUCCGCUUGGCCCCGGGGCUGCUACAGGCCGUCAAGCUCUACCUGCAGAGGCAGCGGAUGCUUCGAGACUUGCGCCCCUUCCUCUGGCCCCCCACGCACUGGUUCUACAGGCAUCACAAGAUCCCAAGUCCAAGUUCCUGUAUGAGUUCAUGGUUCCAUGCCUUGUUGAGGCGUGCAAGCUCAGUAGUUGUGGUGCGCAGGCUUAGUUGCCCUGUGGCAUUUGGGAUCUUUGCUCCCCGACCAGGGAUGGAACCCGAGUCCCCUGCAUUGGAAGGUGGAUUCUCUACCGCUGGACCACCAGGGAAGUCCCAACAAUACUGUACUGUGCACUUAAAAACUUAAGUGGGUAGAUUUCAAGUUAAGUAUUCUUACCACAAUUUUAAAAAAUAAAAGAAG